rnacentral:tRNA from 1 species
GGGCUUUUCACUUAGUGGUAGAGUAUUGCUUUGGCAAGACGAAAGUCAUCGGUUCGAAUCCGAGAAAGUACU